UUGAAUAUAAGAUCAUUAUCAUGCAUUAUAUAUUUAUGUUUAUAUUUAUAGAAAAAAAAAAUAAUCAGUUAUAAACUUAUAAUGACUGAGUGUUGGGUAAUUGACUAAUUAGUGCAUAGUUGGCCAGUUGCACACAAUAAGAUAGUAUUAAUUAAGUGAAAUAUUCUCAUAUUCAGAUGUAAGAUUACGAACACACUUAUUAAUCAAUUAAAAAAUUUCAAAAAUUCAAUUUUAACAAAGUUACAACUUAAAAGUGAAAAUUUAAAAGGGAAACAAAAAUAAAACAUUUAACUUAGUCAAAAUUUGUGGGAAACUCUUCCGCCCCAAAUGGCUAAAACUCCAAAAGUAUAGCGGGAAUACUCCCUCCAAAUUUCCACGAGCAAAGUGACUACAUUCUAAAAGACAAAAAACAAAAGUCAAAGUAAAACAAUAAGAAGAAAAAAAAUCUACAGCCCUAGAAUCUUUGUCAGCCGUUUUCAAUUUUUCAUUCUAUCCAUUACUCCAUUGAGUCUAGUCUCUCUCUUUUGUCUUCACUCUUCUCUAAUCUCUACACACUUCAUCUCAUUUUCCAUUCAAGCGUUUUUUUACUCAAGUGGCCUAGAAGAUUUCAUAUUCUCAGAAUCUCAGCAAUGGAUCAUAUUAGUUAUGACGAGUCUGUUAUUUCACCAGAGGGAACAGAGGAUGAGUAUACACUAGAGGAAGAAGCCAAUGUUCUUACACAAAGGAAGAAGCCAGUGAUCCUGAACUCACAGUUGAAAACUAUAAUGUGAGCACUAUGGAAUCUGGAAUUCCUCACGUUUGACAAGACGGAAUCUAGUGAUAAGAAAUAGAUGUCAAUUUGCAAACAUUGUCAGAAAGCAUCCUUCAUAACCGACCCCAUUAUGGAACCCAAAAUAUGAAAAGACAUCUUAGAAAAUGCAGUGCAUAUGAGAAAUAUAUGAAAAACCAAGGAGGAAAUGGUUCAAACAAAGGUAAAAUCUUUAACCAAAUUGUGUACAGAAAUCUGGUAGCUAAAGCCAUAAUAAAACAUGGGUAUGUUUUUACUUGGGUUGAACAUGAUGGUAAUAGAGAAAUUCAUGCAUAUUUAAGUGAUGAUGUAAAAUUCAUUUGUAUGAACACUACUAAAGCUGAUUGUUUAAAAAUGCAUAAAACUUUGAAGGCUCGAUUAAAGGAAACUCUUAGUAAAGUCUCUAGUCGUAUCUCAUUAACAUGUGACAUGUGGACAUCUUGUCAAACUGAGGUAUAUUUGUGAUUGACAGCUCACUAUGUGGAUGAUAAUUGGAAAUUAAUUAGUACAGUGCUUAACUUCAGCCGUAUUGAUUAACCACACACUAGAAAGACCAUGUAUGCUGCAGUGUUGUCCAUGCUUCAAUAUUGGGGUAUUGAUGAUAAGAUUUUUUGCUUCACUUUAGACAAUGCCUCUAGUAAUGAUAGAAUGCAAGAUUAUUUGAAGGAAACUCUACUUGCACAAGAUGGUUUGUUAUAUAAUGGUGAGUUAUUUCAUGUACAAUGUGCUGCACAUGUAUUAAAUCUCAUUGUUAAAGAUGGACUUAAGGUCAUUGAACAUAUAGUUGAGAAAGUAAGACAUUGUGUGAAGAAGGUAAAAUAUUCUGAAACAAGAAAAAAGACUUUUCAAUCUUGUGUAAGUCUAGCUAAGAUAAAAGAAACAAAAUCAUUAUGGCUUGAUGUUCCUACGAGGUGGAACUCUACGUACAUGAUGCUUGAUAGGGCUAUUUUAUAUCGUGAGGCUUUUAGGGAGAUGUCUGAAGUUCAAAAAUGGUGUCCUUACCUCUAAACAGUGGGAUGUUCUUGAGAAGAUUCGAGAUGUUUUAGAACCCUUCCAUGAGAUAACUGAGAUAUUUUCGGGAAUUGAGUAUCCUACCUCAAAUCUUUAUUUUGGGAAUGUUUGGAAGAUUUUUCAUGCUUUUGAUAGAGUUGGAGCACGAUGAUGAUGACGUUUUGAGGAUAAUGGCUAUAGAAAUGAAGAGCAAGUUUGAUAAGUAUUGGUUUAACUCGGAAUAAGAUGACUAUGGCAUGUUAUUUGCAUUUGCUAUGAUUCUUGAUCCUCGUUGUAAAAUAUCUGUGCUAAAGUUUUGUUACCAAAACAUAUUUGGAGAUGUAGAGGCUACCUUGAGAGUUAGUGAUCUCCAUCUUAAGUUGGAGAAAUUUUAUAAGCUAUAUGCCCAUAUUGGAACAUCAUCGACAUUGAACAACACUGAUAUGGCAUAUUUCUCACAGUCCGAAGCCUCCAUAAGCAGCACUUCAACUAGAAACCGCAAGCAAAAAUACGACUAUUUUGCGAUGAUUUUUCUUCUGUUAUUUCAAUCCUUUUGAUUAUCCUUCAUUCUAAUCUAUUGAUUAGACUAUUUUCUACAUAUUUGUCUUUUGUUUUCUUGUGUUUAGUUUAUUUUUUCUGUCAAUUACUGGUUUUUUAAAGAUUUUCUGUACAUUUGUAUUGCACAAUUGUCAGAAUAAAUUGAUGUGUUUGUGUGUAACUGACUGUCCCUUGAGAAGAAUUUUAUUUCUUUGUUGCUGAACUAUGAAAAGGCUGCUUUAGAUGCAUCUUUAAAUGACCUUUCCUAGUAUAAUCUGUCUGGCUUCUCACAUUCUGGUUCCGUCUUCUUCUCAGUUUCUUCAUUAAGUUGUAUAUUGUAGUUUUGUAGAUAGAGAGGCAUUAACUAAUUACAUAUACAUAGUCUGACAUCUGAAUGAAUAUAUAAGAUGGUUCAUAGUCUAACAUCUGAAUGAAUAUAUAAGAUGGGUCAUAGUCUAACAUCUGAAUGAAUAUAUAAGAUAGUUCAUAGUUUGACUCGUGUUGAAUUAAGAAAUACGAUAAUAAAGAGGCCUAAUUUCUUUUGGUGAGAGGUCAAUAUUAGAUGUUACCUUGAGGACCCUAAACUAGAUCGAAAAGCGGAGCUUGACAUAUUAGCUUUUUGGAAAGAAAGUGAACAUCGAUAUAAAGGCCUUUCUCAUUUGGCUAGAGAUAUUUUGGCCGUGCCCCUAACAACCAUUGCUUCGGAAUCAACUUUCAGCAUUGGGAGUCGAGUGUUGAAUAAAUGGAAAAGUUCAUCGAUUCCUGAAAAUGUGGAGGCUUUAAUAACAACUCGUAGUUGGAUGUACUCUUUUGAAACAAAUGAGGCUGAUGGAUUUUUUGGCUCUUAUGUGGAUUGGGCGACGGCUCCAACAAUUUGAUGUCAACAAUUUUAAGAGUGGAAUAUUGGAGUAUAAUUUUUUAGAAUAUUAGAUUGGUUGCUAUUUUGCCUAUCAGACCUUGUAAUUUCAUUUGGUAUUGAACAUUAUGUUACGUAUGUGUUAUUAUUGUAUUAUUUUUUUUCCCGGACUUAUGAGAUUGUGACUUUUACUUCAAGCUUUAGUAAAUUUUUUCUUAA